UACGAAGGGGUCUAGCGUUGUUCGGAAUAACUGGGCGUAAAGCGCACGUAGGCGGACUUGUAAGUUGGGGGGGAAAGCACAGGGCGCAACCCUGGAACUGCCUCCGAUACUGCAAGUCUGGAGUCCGGGAGAGGUGAGUGGAAUUGCUAGUGUAGAGGUGAAAUUCGUAGAUAUUAGGAAGAACACCAGUGGCGAAGGCGGUUCACUGGCCCGGUACUGACGCUGAGGUGCGAAAGCGUGGGGAGCAAACAGG
rnacentral:rRNA from 1 species